rnacentral:rRNA from 1 species
ACUGCGAAUGGCUCAUUAAAUCAGUUAUCGUUUAUUUGAUAGUACCUUACUACAUGGAUAACCGUGGUAAUUCUAGAGCUAAUACAUGCUAAAAACCCCAUCUCGGGGUGUAUUUAUUAGAUAAAAAACCAAUGCCCUCCGGGGCUCCUUGGCGAAUCAUAAUAACUUAACGAAUCGCAUGGCCUUGCGCCGGCGAUGGUUCAUUCAAAUUUCUGCCCUAUCAACUUUCGAUGGUAGGAUAGUGGCCUACCAUGGUAGCAACGGGUACCGGGGAAUUAGGGUUCGAUUCCGGAGAGGGAGCCUGAGAAACGGCUACCACAUCCAAGGAAGGCAGCAGGCGCGCAAAUUACCCAAUCCCGAUACGGGGAGGUAGUGACAAUAAAUACUGAUACAGGGCUCUUUUGGGUCUUGUAAUUGGAAUGAGUACAAUUUAAAUCCCUUAACGAGGAACAAUUGGAGGGCAAGUCUGGUGCCAGCAGCCGCGGUAA